AAUGAACGCUAGCGGCAGGCCUAAUACAUGCAAGUCGAACGGAGUGGAGCAGCAAUGCUUCACUUAGUGGCGCACGGGUGCGUAACGCGUAUGCAACCUACCUUUUAUUGGGGGAUAGCCCGAAGAAAUUCGGAUUAAUACCGCAUAAUAUCAUUUGAGGGCAUCUGAGGAUGAUGAAAGCUUUGGCGAUAAAAGAUGGGCAUGCGUGUCAUUAGCUAGUUGGUCGAGGUAACGGCUCACCAAGGCGACGAUGACUAGGGGUUCUGGGAGGAUGAUCCCCCACACUGGUACUGAGAUACGGACCAGACUCCUACGGGAGGCAGCAGUAGGGAAUAUUGGGCAAUGGCGGAAACGCUGACCCAGCCAUGCCGCGUGCCGGAUGAAGGCCUUCUGGGUUGUAAACGGCUUUUACCAGGGAAGAACCUACCUUUGCGAAGGGAACUGACGGUACCUGGUGAAUAAGCACCGGCUAACUCCGUGCCAGCAGCCGCCGUAACAC
rnacentral:rRNA from 1 species